GGUCCUUUGGUGGAUGUUGCAUGCAAGCCCAGCUCCCAUCACAGGGGUGAGUAGUUUGUUCCUGCUGACCCCACAGGCUGAGCCCUCGUUUUGUGGGAUCCAUUCCUGGGAAACGGAAAUAUUACUCUUAAGGUCCUCCAAGAAGGAAGAAGAAACCUACAGGAGCUUGUACAUCCCUGGAGGAAUCCAAAUAUCUGAAAAAACUCCUGAGUGAUGUGGACAGCCAGCGUGAUGCAGCCAGCACCUCAACACAUUCUGACAUCAUCUGGAAAAGCAUGAGAAGAGUUUUCUGCUGGGGAACACCUUGUUUGAUUAAGUUGAUGGCCAUUGUGGCUGGUGCGGCACUGUGCCUGAUGAUGUGCUGGGCAGGAAUCUGGUAUUGCUGGACGAGAAAAUGGCACCACCUUGAAGAAAAGCUGAAAGCUGGUGGCUGGUCACGAGACCUCUACAGCCAAAAGAGCUACAGCAGCAGUUCUGAGUCUGAUUAUGAGUCUGAUGAGUGUAUAUUUGCCCCUCCAACCCCUGUGGUGCUUGGAGGCGACAGGCCCAGCACUCCAUGCAGGGCUGAAGGUGGGCAGCCCUAGAACAGGAUUUAGAAGUGCUCAAGUUAGCACUCUUGGAGAGCUUCCAAAAUCACCUCUUCCCUUUCAAUAAAGAGAUGGAGCUGUCACCCCAGUCUCUGAUGGCAGUAGCAG